rnacentral:lncRNA from 1 species
AGUAUCGACCACCUCUCUCUCCUCCUCUCCCUUACAGAGAUCCCUUGUGCAUCUCGGAUCCUGCCUCGACCUCCAGGCCAUCGACUGCAUAAAUUAUUGAUGUGUAGAAGAUGGCUGGUGGUGUGGUGUGGUCUGCUGUGCUCACAGAGAAAAGGCAUGCUACAAACAGAAGCGGUGAGGAAAUGAUGUUUGGGAAGAUGCUUCCAGAAUAUGGAUCUCUCAUCUGUGCACCCUUUGACUGGUGGAUCUCAGUCAGAGGCAAUUCUGGAUGUCGCGACUGGAGAGGGGACAAUGAACAUCUGUUGAAUAAAGACUAGGCCUACAAUGAGAAUAGCAGUCACCACCCAACAGAGUGACACAGCCCAGUAAGACCAUGGGACGGAGGCUGAGGAAGGCUGGUCUUAGACAUCAAAAUCAGAACCGGUGAGAGACACCAGGAAGCCCACCAGGUCUCGGUUGUGCGUGGACCUUGCCAUCCUCUCUUGCAAGAACUUGCUUUCUUUUAGCUGAGUCCAGCCACCCUUUCGGGUGAAGCUCCUCUCACUUGCUUCCCAAGCUCCAGGGUCUCGGC